rnacentral:rRNA from 1 species
CGAACGCGACAGCUCCCUUCGGGGGGCAAGUAGAGCGGCGCACGGGUGAGUAACACGUAGGUAAUCUACCUUCGGAUGGGGAAUAACAACCGGAAACGGUUGCUAAUACCGCAUAAUGCAGCGGCACCUAAUGGUGACAGUUGUUAAAGCGGGGGAUCGUAAGACCCCGCGUCUGAAGAGGAGCCUGCGGCAGAUUAGCUAGUUGGUAAGGUAACGGCUUACCAAGGCGAUGAUCUGUAGCCGGCCUGAGAGGGCGGUCGGCCACACUGACACUGACAUACGGGUCAGACUCCUACGGGAGGCAGCAGUCGGGAAUUUUGGGCAAAGGGCGAAAGCCUGACCCAGCAGCGCCGCGUGAAGGAUGAAAUCCUUCGGGAUGUGAACUUCGCAAGAACGGGAGGAAUAAGUGAGGGUUAAUAUCUCUCGCGAUGACGGUACCGUUUGUAAGCUCCGGCUAACUCCGUGCCAGCAGCCGCGGUAAUACGGGGGGAGCAAGCGUUGUUCGGAUCUACUGGGCGUAAAGGGCGCGUAAGCGGCCACCGCAAGUCGACUGCGAAAUCUCCGGGCUUAACCCGGAAAGGUCAGCCCGAUACUGCGGGGCUAGAGUGCAGAAGGGGCAACUGGAAUUCUCGGUGUAGCGGUGAAAUGCCGUAGAUAUCGAAGAGGAACACCUGCGGCGAA